UAGCUCAGUCGGUUAGAGCGUGGUGCUAAUAAUGCCAAGGUCAGGGGUUCAAUCCCUG
rnacentral:tRNA from 1 species